UCAUGGUACACAUAUUACUUAUUUUAGCCAUUGCCCUGCCCAGACACGGCCCUGUUCCAGGCAGGGUGUCCAUACGCCCUGGGCUUCUUGCACAGUCAGUGUUGUUUCCCUUUCAGUGUGGUUGCUUGUGUGAUUACUGGCUUCCGCUCUCACCUCCGAGCCAAGUCCAUGUGUGUCUUGUUCAGCAGCCCCCGGUGCCUGGCGUGGAGGGGCGCUCAGCACAGAUUUGUAACAAGAAGGCAAACGAAAGCCAGGAUGGAGGCUGCACCCGUGAACGCACUGCCUAGACUUGGUGCGUAAUUGACUGAGGGAGAUGCUUCAAAGGCGAGCCCUGGGAUGUGGCUGGUAGGGAGAUGGGGUGGCCAGUGUCAUCAAUGGAGAAGUCAGGAAAUGAAACUGGUUUUGGUGGGAGAAUAGUCAGUUUGAUUAGGUUAUGUAUUACCAUGGGAAGGUCAAAUGAAAUUGUUUGUUGGUGGCGUUGCACUCAGGAGGUCGAUGUGCACAUAGUAUAUUUUGUAGUUCUCUUUAGACCUGAUCGUUGACACCCGCAGCCUCUGUGGGUGGUCAGGGAAGAGUGGGGCAGAAGGUUGGUGGCUGGGAGGGGAGGAACGUAUAGGGACUCAACAGCACACUUGCCAGGUGUUCCGCUGCCACACAGAUGAAUUGCAUCCAAGCCUUCCCUCCGAGUUAAAGGACAAGUAACUGGUCACCAUCCUCCGUGAACUAAUCUUCCUUCUACCUAAGAAAUGUUGUACGUUGUAUUUUGGACAUCAUGAAAUUUAACCAUUCAUUUCGACAUGUAUUUAUUGAGCACCAGCUGUGUAGCAGGCACUUUUGUAGGUGCAGGGGGUACAAUAAUAAAACGUAAUCCUUGACUUCAGCUGGUGAGAAUCACACAGAAACCAAGUUUAUUUAUAUGUAUCAAAUGGUGAUAAUUGCUAUAGAGAAAAAUAAAGGAGAAGAAUAAUUUAGGUGUACAGUCCUUUCCUCAAAAUCCUUGAGACAAGAUGUAGUUCAGUAUUUGGAGCUUAGAAAAUAUGAUACAUGUACCAUCUACAAGGGUGAGUCAAAAUUUAUCCACGCUCUGGUUAUAGUAACACUUCUGUAAGUUGUACAGCCAGAGUGCGGAUAAUUUUUGACUCACCCUCAUAUUAACAUCCUUAGGGAUGUUACAAGUAGCCUCAUGUUAGCUUAGGUCAACUUUUGUGACCUAAUGAAUUAACAAAAUUAAGUUUUGCCAUUAACUAUAAUGAGUUAGCUAAUAGCUUAAUUUCCAAGUUGGUUUAGGUUUCUUUUAGAUUUUCAGAGGUAACAUGUAGUGCUUACGCCAAGUUUCAGGCAUUCUUCUAAAAGCACAGUCCAUACCCACACAUACUCUCAUGUAAUCCUCAUAACAGUCCUACAGCAGUGCUGCUAGUGCCCUUUACAGAUGGGAGAACUGAAGCUCAGAGAGGGUCAAUAAGCGCCCGGGAACCCAAGCACAUCCUCAGGCACGGUGCUGUCCCUGGGUCAGGAGGGGAGGCUGCUGAUUAAAUAAAUAGGAUGGUCAGAGAAGGCCUCACAGACACGUGGCAUGUAAGCAGAGACCUGAAAGAAGCAAGGGAGCCAUGUGGAUGGAGAGCUGGGGGAAAGCAUUCUGGGCAACAAAGCAUAGUUGGGAAUAUGCUGGUUUGCAUUGGAGAAGCAAAGUGGGUGCUGCUGGAGUGAGUGGGGUGGGAGGGCCAGGGAGGUCAGAGCAGUGGCUGGCGUUUUGGUCAAGAUAAUCCUUUGUUGUGCUGGAUUGUCCUGUGCAUUCUAGGGUGUUUAGUGACCUGGCCCUCACAUACUAACCGCUACUUCACCGUGAAAGCCACCCAGAUGCCCAUGCCUUUCUAAACGCCCCCUAGAUUUUCUCUCCUGGUGGGUGGUACUGUCAUCUUUGAGAAUAAAUUCAGCACUCUUUAUAGUGUUAACUGUUCUUUAAUGCAUUUUCCUACUUUAGAGUGAUGAGGUGGGGUUGUAGAGAGAACCGUGGAUUCUAGCCCAAAUGAAAUGAUCAUGCCAGCAAAUCCAUCCACAAAGUGGCAGGUGUAUUAUGUUUUAAGAAUAGAUUUUAGCAAAAGAUAAAUAUAUCAAAAGCUGCAUACAUUUAACUCCCCCCCCCUUUUUUUUUCUUUUGACACCUUACUACUUUGAUCUGUUAUUACCACACCAAGUUAAUGUUCAUGUUUGGAAAGAAUAAGUACUUUUUACAAAUUUCCCAGAAAAGAAUUAUAAUAGUAAUAAGCAAGAUGGGUGUUAAGCAAUGUGAAUUUUGACUCUAACCUAAAAAUGAGGCUUUUUUUUUUUUUUUAAUAAGCCGGAUUUGCACAUCCAAAGCAGUGUUGCCCUUCAGGGUGGUCACCUUUUGAAACACAGUAUUUUACGAAGAAUACUGCCACUGCUCACAUCCUUUUGCCACUCAGUUCCUUCAAAAUGAGUUUACAUGGCACAAUAACAAGUAUUGUUUCUUAACAGACAUGCUUCUGUUCUGGGCCUUGUGUAAGGUUUUUGUUGCUUUGUAAUAAGUUACUAUAAACUAAGUGGCUGAAAACAAUGCAGAUUUAUUAUUGUGCAGUUUCUGUGGAUCAGGAGUCUGGACAUGGUUUGGCUGGUCCACGCACUGGAUCAAAGUGUUGACCAGGGCUACGACCUGCCCUAAGGCUCAGGGUCUUCUUCCAGACUCCCUGGUUGUUGGCAGAAUUCAGUUGCCUGUGGCUGUAAGACUGAGGUUUCUGCUUUCUUGGUGGCUGUGAGCUGUGGGCCAUUCUCAGCUCAAAGUGCUGCCUCUGGUACCAUCCAAGUGGUCUUCUCCAUGGAUAGUUCACGGCAUAGCUGUUUGCUUCUUCAGAAUCAACAAGUGACUCUCUCUCCUCAGGAAGGACCCAGUUCCUCCUGUUAGACGUCACCUGAUUAGGUCAGGCCCACCAGCACUAUCCAAAACCUUUUGAUUAACUUCAAAGUCAAGGGAUUAGUGACCUAAUCAUGGGAAUGAAAUCCCAUCAUAUUUACAAUUUUUGCUGACACUCCGGGGGUGGGGGGGUGAGUAUACUAAAUAUGUACACCUAUACACCGGGGACAGGGUCUUGGGGGCCGUCUUCCAGUUCUGCCCUCCACUGGCCUCAUUGGUAUUCAUUACCCAGCUUGAUUCAUCCAUCUUAUUCUCUAGUCUUGACUUGAAAUAAUUUCUUCCUAUUUUUAAAACUGAGGUUUAUUUUCCAUGGUUAAGGGAAACGCCCCUUGAACACACUCAGAAGACUGAACCUCAGGCUCCAGAGACUGUUUGAAAAGUGAAGUUCUAGCAUUACUUGGAGCCAAAGAAGGCAGCUUUGUUGGAAUGAGACCACUAAAUAUAGCGCCUAGUACAGUACCUGGUCUGCAGUGGCUCAGGAAAUUUUGAAUGAGUGUACCUCAGAUGAUGACGUCAUCCAAUCA